GUCACAGAAAGCUAAGGCGUUAAUAUGUCACCCAUGUGAUGAGACAAAGUGGACCUUUUUGUCACAGGGAAUGUCAUUCCAAUUUCCUUUAUUGGACAGAACAGCACAAUCUUCCUCGCCUCUAUUAUUAGGUUCUCCUUGCCUCCAGAACCUGAAAAGGAAAAGCUCAGUAAGCACUGAAUGAUGAAAUUCAACAGUAAUCUUCUACAUUCACAGAAUCAUAGAGUUGGAAGAGUCCCAAAAGUGGGACCAUCACAAAUCAGUUUAUAUAACCCACAAUGUGCCCAGAGAGCAGGAGCACCAAAGAAGAUCAAGACAAAAAGAGGGGACGGACAGCACUAGAUGGUGAAAAACCAAAACAGGCAAAGCCAUCUGAAGGAUGGCUUUCACUAGUCAUCUGGAAAUUAAGCUGAAUCCUGGAAACUCCAGGCUGUUCCUGGAUGGUUGGCAACCCUAAACUGCAGGCUUGUACCAGGACAGGGACUGGGGCUGAAAUGGAACAGACUAAAGGAGGUCAGGCUUCUAGUAUCCUCACUGGCCAAUCUAGAUGCUUCCUAUUGCCUGCCAGUCAAACAGGCUGACAUUGCACAGGCUGUGCCUGAAAUAGGUUGAAGCCACCAGGCUUCAUACAAUUCUAGGUAAUUCAUUAGGCUAGGUUGGUUUCAGUCUCUGGGCAUGUGGCUUCCUGUGGCCUUGAAGUCCCCAACACUAUCUGGACCUCCCAACUUCUCCACAUAAGGGGCCCAGAAAAAAGACACAGACAUCAUUCACAUACUGUUGUGUCAAACUUGAUCCAUCAACCCAGUGCCAGCUUCCCUCCGUUUCUGCAUCGCUCAAGCCAAGCCAGACUGAUGAGAAGUCUGUUUUACUAACCACAAAAUCCUAGGAUGAAAAACACAUGCUUCCUUAAAAUGCUAAGUGCAUGAAACUUGUAAUCUGCCUACCUCUGAUAUCUUUUUGUGUUAGGAGUACUUUUGAGGCACAUCCAUUUAACAGGAAGGGAUUAGUAAUUACAAAUUCCUGCUUUUAAACUGUGUGAUUAGAUGGUUCUAUUAGUUUGAUUUUGAACUGAGCUGUAUUACAUUUGCCUUGUAUUUUUAUAUGAUGGCAGCUUCAUGGAUUUAUAGGUUGAAAAGCAGGUUUAAAACUGAAUGAAUGAAGGAAGGAAGGAAUAAAGGCUGUAAAUACAUGCAUAUUUGUGGUUUCAUACUGACUAGCGUAGUGCUGCUUGGAUUUCCCUGCCUGCAACCAGACUCUGAGUGGGUGGGGGAGAUAGGUUAGAAUUUGGAGCUGGAAACUGGGACUCCUGGGUUCGUGUGAAAACUAGGAUCAGGUGAAUGGGACUAGGACUAGGAGAAAACAAGAGAUCUGCAGGAAGACCAAAUAGCUGGGAUACGCUUUACAACAAAAGGUGCAAUUUACCUACUCCUCCUUGCUGUUAAUAACAAUCAGUUGGGAGUUUUCAUGAGCACAUGAUGUUUUGGCACUUUCCCACGGUGUUUCAUUUUUUGAGUAGUAGUAGCAGUUUCCUUGAAAAUGCUUCCAGUGUAGAGGAGCUGGCUUGAUGAAAGUAUCUGGAAGCAAGGAAGAUUAUGUAGAGUAACUGUCAAAUAUGCUACAAUCCAAAACAAGAUAAUGAACAUAAGAGCAUAAGAACAGCCCUGCUGGAUCAGGCCCAAGGCCUAUCUAGUCCAGCGUCCUGUUUCACACAGUGGCCCACCAGAUGCCUCUGGGGAGCUCACAGGCAAGAGCUGAAGGCAGGCCCUCUCUCCUACUGUUGCUCCCCUGCAAUUAGUAUUGAGGGGCAUCAUGCCUCUGAAGCUGGAGGCGGCCCAUAGCCCUCCGACUAGUAGCCAUUGAUAGACCUGCCUUCCAUGCUUUUAUUAUUUUAUUUUUUAUUCCAUGCUUUUAUUAUUUUAUUUUAUUUUAUUUUAUUAAUAAUUAAUAAUAAUAUUAGGAUUAGCCAAAGAGUAACAAAGCAUGAAACAGAAGCCAACAGUAUGAUGCAGCUGCUGAAAAGCUAAAGCAAUCUUGGGCUGCAUUAACAGAGGUGUAGUGUCCAGAAGUAACAUGUCCUGUUCAAGCAUUAUAUAAACUGGAGAGGCUUUACUCACAUAGAGCCUCCUCAAGAGUGUGUUGGCAAGCCCCGCCCCCAUACUGAUGCGCUCAGAAAUACUGCCCCUGGUGUCCAUGGCUACAGCCCUGUACUUGUGGAGAGAUUCUUCCCAUGUUGGGGAGGAUUUCUUCCCGAGUACAGUCUUUGUCUCUGCAGACAAAUUGUGUAGAGCCAGAGAGGCAGAGUUUCAGAGUGUGGCAGCACAAAGGUGAGGCUUGUCAGUGCUCUCUGGGUAUGCUGUACAGCAUCCUCAGUCUACAUAAUGCCUGAACAGGGCCCCAGGUCCACUCUAUUCCGUGCUGGUCAGACCGUAUUUGGAAUACAGUGUCCAGUUCUGGGCAUUGCAUUUUAAGGACAUUGGUAAACAGGUUCAGAGUAGGGAUGUACACAAACUAAUCUGUGCACUCCCAGGAGGGCAGGGCGGCACGCACGUGCAUCGGCCAUGAGCUUGGUGAUGCUGAUUGGGGCUGCAAGCAGGAAUGCAGCAGCCCAGAACACCCACUUUUUUUGGAGAGCACUGGUGGCGGGAAAGCGGCGGGGUGGGGGCUGACAGGUAGGCAGUGCCCUCCCUGUCCCUUCAAAUCGGCUCAAAGUCUGGCAGACCGAACAUCCCUAGUUCAGGGAUCUUCCGUGCACAUCCCUAGUUCAAAGGAGGGCAACCACUAUGGUGAUGGUGAGAGGUCUGGAAACCAAGUCCUACAAGAAGAAGUUGAAGGCAUUGGGUAUAUUUAGCUUUGAGAAGAGAACAUGCUCUGCUCCCUAGUCCUUUUGCUUACCAUCUAGCCUAAUGAAGAGUUCUUUAGGGUGUAAAAGCCCAUGGUUUGAUGUUUUGUUACUUGUUGUUUGGUCCUAAUAAAAGCAUCACUAUACUUUG